UUUGAUCUGCACAAUCACCGUAUAAUUCCAGUUUACGAGGGCUGUUCCGUAAACCGCUACAACUCUACUCUGUCGAAACUGUAAUUGCGUGAACCGUAAAACGUAAUUCAACUUUUAAUUUUAGGAUAUUUGUUCAGUGGGGGAGGAAUGUCAGCUCCAAAAAAACAGGUUCAGUUUUCACUGACAAUCUCUGCUGGCACGUUAAGCAGCAGCUCCAACCACGAAUGUACAAUCAAGCAUUAUGAACGGUACUUUACUUUUUUUGUGUGUCGAUCAAAGUCCCAUGAGACUUCAAACAGCCGAUCAUCCAAGACAAAAACUUGGCAUACAUGGCAUACAAUGAGAAACCUCUCAGCUGAAAUCAUUCCAUUCAACUAAUCCAGAUGUUUUAUUAUUUAUAAGAAUUUACAAGAAAUGAACUGCUAAACUGAAUUUGUACAUAAACGUUAUUAAUCAGAUGGAAUCUACUAGUUGCUUGCAAAGCUUUUCUCUGUUCCCAUUAGAAAUGUAAAUGUGUGAAAUUGCACAAAUGUUGGUCUACCCUUGUUUGGUUCUGGGUUUCUUUGUGGCUUUCUCUGUGGGGUCUUGUGUAUGUGCACUAUUACCACCUCUAGAUGGCGCCAGAUCCAUCCUGUCGGAGGGUGUGAGUGACAUCACCGGUACACCUGACUCGAAUCUGGCUCAUCAGCGGCAGGUUCAAGAGGAGCUGACUGCCAGUUCUUCGGCGCCUGAGUGUUAGCCAGUAACGGUGAUCCCUCGUGAUGCCCUGGAUCCACUCUGUGCUGAUCCUUCCUGGCUUUCUGAUCAAGCCCUUUUCUCGUGACGCCGUGGAACGUACCCACUGGUUGCCCGAGUUCCCAGACUCACCUCCAACGUGUGACAACAAGUUCCUCCUGGAUUUCCAUGACUGGCAGUCGCACCGCUCCUCUGUUCCUGCUGAUCCUGGGCCUACCUGUCCGCCCUCCGAUGUGCCCUUCCGUUGCCUUCUGGUUUCCCGUCAACACGCACAAAAACCACCUGGACCCACAGAGAGACUGAGACCCCGGAUGUUGCAGUUCCCUCCCAAAACCUCGAACCAACUAUCCACAAUGUGCCGAUUGUUCCCUGAACCCGUUUCCCUCCUUGGACCAAACCUGAGCCUGCAUAACCAUC